rnacentral:misc_RNA from 1 species
UCCGUAUCUCCAGGCUUCCCCGGAAGGGGAGGGCCAGGGUGUUGGGCUGUGCCGUCCCCGUGUUGUCGGUGGGGGAUGGGCCCCAAACAGAGUGGCAGUACCGUAUCCGGUCCUGGAGCAUGAUGGGGCGUUGUCACCGGCUCUUGGGGGACCGGAUCCGGGUUGCUGGCCGGGCCGUCUUGAUUCUAUCC